rnacentral:rRNA from 1 species
GGUUAAGCGACUAAGCGUACACGGUGGAUGCCCUGGCAGUCAGAGGCGAUGAAGGACGUGCUAAUCUGCGAUAAGCGUCGGUAAGGUGAUAUGAACCGUUAUAACCGGCGAUUUCCGAAUGGGGAAACCCAGUGUGAUUCGUCACACUAUCAUUAACUGAAUCCAUAGGUUAAUGAGGCGAACCGGGGGAACUGAAACAUCUAAGUACCCCGAGGAAAAGAAAUCAACCGAGAUUCCCCCAGUAGCGGCGAGCGAACGGGGAGGAGCCCAGAGCCUGAAUCAGUGUGUGUGUUAGUGGAAGCGUCUGGAAAGGCGCGCGAUACAGGGUGACAGCCCCGUACACAAAAAUGCACAUGCUGUGAGCUCGAUGAGUAGGGCGGGACACGUGGU